AUGAUGCGAUGGGGGGACGGAUCGCGGAAGGUUGUCCGGGUGUUGGAAGUCCCGGUCCCUGUAUUGGAGAAGGCGCUCAGGCAAAUCCGGGCGCGGAAUUCAAGAGUAUGGGGCGAGCGGCCUUGAGCUGCGAAGCAAUCGGAAGUGGUUCCAAGAAAAGCCUCUAAGCUUCAGUCAUACGAGACCGUACCGCAAACCGACAC
rnacentral:rRNA from 1 species